rnacentral:rRNA from 1 species
UACGGAGGGUGCAAGCGUUGUCCGGAAUCACUGGGCGUAAAGGGCGCGUAGGCGGCUCAUGAAGGCUGUGGUGAAAGUCCGGGGUUCAACCUCGGAUCGGCCGUGGCGACUCGUGGGCUGGAGCACUGUAGAGGCGGGUGGAAUUCCGGGUGUAGCGGUGGAAUGCGUAGAGAUCCGGAAGAACACCAGUGGCGAAGGCGGCCCGCUGGGCAGUGGCUGACGCUGAGGCGCGACAGCGUGGGGAGCAAACAGG